UCCAGCUUAUCGCUGGCGGUCUCCUGAGAGUGCUUCCCUUACGGGAGUGGCAACUAGGGACAAGGGUUGCGCUCGUUGCGGGACUUAACCCAACAUCUCACGACACGAGCUGACGACAGCCAUGCAGCACCUGUGUUACGGCUCCCUUUCGGGCACACCCGGCUUUCACCGGGCUCCAGGACAUGUCAAGGGUAGGUAAGGUUUUUCGCGUUGCAUCGAAUUAAUCCACAUAAUCCACCGCUUGUGCGGGUCCCCGUCAAUUCCUUUGAGUUUUAACCUUGCGGCCGUACUCCCCAGGCGGUCAACUUCACGCGUUAGCUUCGUUACCAAGGAAUUGCUUCCCCGACAACCAGUUGACAUAGUUUAGGGCGUGGACUAC
rnacentral:misc_RNA from 1 species